CCCCGUGAGUCGACUGCCUCCAAAUGAAAUGUCUUCGGGCGUUUUUCAGUUGCUUUUUAUGCAGAGCUUCCUGUGGAACGCAGGAAUUGGAUGGACAAUCCCAAACCGGAAUUCCUACAUCUUGAAGGGGGCAAGUGCCUUCAGCCUUCUCACCUCAAGGCCUUCUGCUGCCUUUGCAGUCUGAUGGAAAACACAGGAAUCAUCACUACUGGACGGUUAUUUGUAUUUACCGAACCUCACACCUAGCUUAACUGUUAUUUCAAAUAUUUCAGCUGAAGGCACAGUGGGAGCUCAUAUAGGCCGGUGUUUACAGUGGUUAAGGUCACUGUGAGAUCAAAUCUGUCAAAUUGGAGCUUGUUAAACUGCUGCAAGAUUAGAACGAAUUUUCUUUUUCCUCCUUCCGUUUGUGCUUCUGUUGUAGCACAGACCAGUGUGAGGAACAGGUAGCAAAUGUUUAAACAAAGACUAUUUAAUAUUAAUUUUGUCCCUCUCAUCCUCACUGGCAAAGAGACAGUUUGGACAUGUUCAAGCUUUAAAAGAUGCUUGUGUUGAUCCUGACAUUAGCCUGUAACAUAUUAUAUUUAUUUAUUUCAUAAUGUGGUUAGAAUAAUUCUCAAAAAACAUGGUAAUCCAAUCAAUUUUAAAAUUCUGAAAACAUUCUUACAACAAGGUCCAUUCAUUAUUGUUCUGGAGGCUUCAAAGAGAACAGAACAGCUGCUAAAUGCACCUUGUGGUCAGAUGUGCAACUGUUUCCAAAUUCACAAAUUAACUUUAAACCUCAAAUUUUAAACGUAUUUCCUUCACUGAAAUUUCUUGGCCCACAACAUAGCAGAAUUUGAACAUUUUAGCGAUUCAGUAGUAAAAGAACAAACUCCUGCACGCUGUGUUGACUCACUUUAUUCACAUUUCGGUCCUUAGACCCUCACAGUGUGCAGGAUUUUUCUAGUUUAUCAUCCAAUGCGCCUGUCCAUAAGACUUUCUGGAGUGCAAGAACUUGGUAGUAACUGAGUCAGUAGUACAAAUUAAUUUGAAUUACCUCUUAUGAAACCUGUUUUUUCGUAUUUACUGGUAUCAUAAGAUAUCUGGAGUUUGUUGGAUGGGGUCGUACCUGGGUUCAGAUGGGGCAUUAAUGUGAGCCUAAAUAGCUUUCUGUAGCGGUAGCUGUCAUGUUAAAGACGGACUGGCUGCUCCUCCUCUGCCUUUAAGCUGAGCUUGACUGAGAUCAGUCUGACAACGAGGACUCAUUUGUCAUUUUAAGUAUGUGCAGAACCAGACCACAUACGCAGACAGUUAAAUGUUCAUGCACACAUGCACAAACACGUUUUCUGUGUGUGUGUGUUUGGUUGAGUGACUGGGCUUCAGGGGGCAUGAACCAGAACUUCAUUCAAAUGGAACAGAGCAUAAAUGUAUGAUGAAAAAUUA